rnacentral:rRNA from 1 species
UUGGAGGGCAAGUCUGGUGCCAGCAGCCGCGGUAAUUCCAGCUCCAAUAGCGUAUAUUAAAGUUGUUGCAGUUAAAAAGCUCGUAGUUGAAUUUCGGGAUCAAUAUGCUGGUCGUGCCUUUGGUACGUACUGGUAUUAUUGGUUUCUCCUUUCUGAUGAAUCACGAUGUCAUUAAUUUGGUGUCAUGGGGAAUCAGGACUGUUACUUUGAAAAAAUUAGAGUGUUUAAAGCAGGCUUACGCUUGAAUACAUUAGCAUGGAAUAAUGAAAUAGGACGUUUAAUUCUAUUUUGUUGGUUUCUAGGAUUGACGUAAUGAUUAAUAGGGAUAGUUGGGGGCAUUAGUAUUCAAUUGUCAGAGGUGAAAUUCUUGGAUUUAUUGAAGACUAACUACUGCGAAAGCAUUUGCCAAGGAUGUUUUCAUUAAUCAAGAACGAAAGUUAGGGGAUCGAAGACGAUCAGAUACCGUCGUAGUCUUAACCAUAAACUAUGCCGACUAGGGAUCGGAUGAUGUUAAUUUUUUAAUGACUCAUUCGGCGCCUUACGGGAAACCAAAGUGUUUGGGUUC